UGGGGAAUAUUGCACAAUGGGCGCAGGCCUGAUGCAGCCAUGCCGCGUGUGUGAAGAAGGCCUUCGGGUUGUAAAGCACUUUCAGCGAGGAGGAAGGUGGUGAACUUAAUACGUUCAUCAAUUGACGUUACUCGCAGAAGAAGCACCGGCUAACUCCGUGCCAGCAGCCGCGGUAAUACGGAGGGUGCAAGCGUUAAUCGGAAUUACUGGGCGUAAAGCGCACGCAGGCGGUUUGUUAAGUCAGAUGUGAAAUCCCCGGGCUCAACCUGGGAACUGCAUUUGAAACUGGCAAGCUAGAGUCUCGUAGAGGGGGGUAGAAUUCCAGGUGUAGCGGUGAAAUGCGUAGAGAUCUGGAGGAAUACCGGUGGCGAAGGCGGCCCCCUGGACGAAGACUGACGCUCAGGUGCGAAAGCGUGGGGCAGCAAACAGGAUUAGAUACCCUGGUAGUCCACGCUGUAAACGAUGUCGAUUUGGAGGUUGUGCCCUUGAGGCGUGGCUUCCGGAGCUAACGCGUUAAAUCGACCGCCUGGGGAGUACGGCCGCAAGGUUAAAAC
rnacentral:rRNA from 1 species